rnacentral:rRNA from 1 species
GAGUUUGAUCAUGGCUCAGAUUGAACGCUGGCGGCAUGCCUUACACAUGCAAGUCGAACGGCAGCACGGGAGCAAUCCUGGUGGCGAGUGGCGAACGGGUGAGUAAUACAUCGGAACGUGUCCUGUAGUGGGGGAUAGCCCGGCGAAAGCCGGAUUAAUACCGCAUACGAUCUGUGGAUGAAAGCGGGGGAUCCUUCGGGACCUCGCGCUACAGGGGCGGCCGAUGGCAGAUUAGCUAGUUGGUGGGGUAAAGGCCUACCAAGGCGACGAUCUGUAGCUGGUCUGAGAGGACGACCAGCCACACUGGGACUGAGACACGGCCCAGACUCCUACGGGAGGCAGCAGUGGGGAAUUUUGGACAAUGGGCGAAAGCCUGAUCCAGCGAUGCCGCGUGUGUGAAGAAGGCCUUCGGGUUGUAAAGCACUUUUGUCCGGAAAGAAAACCUCGUGGUUAAUACCCCGUGGGGGAUGACGGUACCGGAAGAAUAAGCACCGGCUAACUACGUGCCAGCAGCCGCGGUAAUACG